ACGCAGCCCUCCUCGGCCCGGCGUGCCCAGCCGGGUGAGCCCGACGGUGGCGCUCAUUGGCCCGGCCCGCUUCGGCGGCCACGCCCCCAGCGGGGAGCCGGUCCACGUGGGGCGGGACAGCCCCCUCCCUGCGGCCUCGCCCUGGAGUCUCGGCACCGUCUGGCCCCGCCGGCUGAUUACAGCCAGAGAUCGAGGGGGACCUCGCUGUCCCCCUAGAGGCCGUCAUGCGGGGUUACAGAGGCUGCGACCAAAGUCAUUCCUAGCUCCUCUCUCGGGGCUCCGGAAAGCCGUCCGCGCCUCCAGCCGCACUUUCAGCGCACGCAGGACCUGCCGCGCCCGGUGGCCACACCCGUCCCUCUGCCGGGUGACGCUGCGGGAGAUCUUGCGCCCUGGGGCUCCGGAUCCAGUUCUGGCACGUUGUUGCACCUGUGACUUGUCCUUGGCCUGGCACUGUCCCUCGCCUGGGGGAAGCGGGGGGGUGGGGGGGGGAUGCUCACGUGGUCGCUUUGCUCCCGCAGUCAUGCACUUGGGUGAAAACAGACUGAAGAGUCACGGGAACCAGCUUGUCUCCCCAGUUAUGGCGCAGAGCUGCAAGGAUGGCUGUGGGUCAUUAAUUUCUCCGUGGCUGACCUGUGUUUGUAACGCCGCAGCUGUUGCGAGGGGGAAGGACACUGCUUCGGAUUCAAAUUCUGACUCCUUGCUGCAGUGUGUCACCUUGAGCCAGUCCCAGAUCUCUGCGUUCUCACAAUUGUAAAAUGUUAACAGAGGCUGCCUACCUUGUGGCUGGAAUUAAAUGAAUUAACGUGUGUGAAUGUGACUAGAAUUCAGUACAUGUUCAGGAAAAGCUGAUUUCCGCUUUGCUGUUACCGUGAAUAUUACUGUUUUAGGGUGUAGAAAAGGGUGGAAGGGGAUGUUAUUGCAUCCUGGAAGCUUAUCCUUUUGAGGUAAAGAUUGAUUUCUGGUCCCCUGCGUGGUAUAUAGUGUAGUUUUGACAUUAUUUAGAUGUGUUAUGCACAUUUGGGUGUUGAUUAUAUGGCUUACGAUCAAGACUAACCAGUCAUGCCGUGGGAGAUUAAGGUCGUGGUCUCUUGUCAGGAUUGUAGUGAGAUUUAAAAAUUCCAGCCAGAAAUACCAGGCUUAGAAUGCUCUGAAGCCCUCCCCACAUUUUUGCCAUCUCUAGCAGGAGGGCACUGCAUAGCAGAAACAAAGACGUUGUAAAUUGUUGCUGCCUGAGUCAUUUAUAGAGGCUUAAACAACCUGAAUGUCCUCUGACCUACCUGUAACAUUUGAUGGAGUUGUAUGAGUAACUUACAAAGCUGUAGGUCCCAAGGUCGGUCUGAAAAAGAAAGUUCAUAUCCGGGAGCACUGACCCCGUAGUGUAAUCCUGGCACCUUAAAACGUACUGCUCCCUCCACCUUCACUUCAAGGUUAUGAAAACAUUGAGUAAAAGGGAUGAUCUGUUCAAAGUCCUUAGUGUUCUGCCAAUUUAAAACAGUAAUUUUCAAAGCAGUUAUUUGCAAGGAAAUUGCCUAGAACUUCUCCCAGUGUGCGGUUGUUUUGUGUGUUUGUGUGUGUGUUUUGUUUGUUUGUUUUCAGUCUGUCCACAGGCGUACUUUUAUAGGUCUGUGAUAGUAGGUAGCUCUUCAAGUUGGCAAACACCUGCUGGACAACCCCUGAGAGAUUCAUCUGAGUGAGAGAGCACUCUCCAGCCCCAUCGGAGUGGGUUUGCAGGGAAAUCAUAAGGAAGAAAUCCUUAUCUUUCCAACACUGAGAUGCUUCUGCCGAAGAGUAGAAUGGGAGUGAGGGGACACGCAAAACGGGCUGCUGCCGGAGGAAGAGGAACAGUGUUGUGGCUCAUGCCAUAUGAAUGGGCUCACUGGCCUGGCCCAGACCCUGACUGCCCACAGGAUCUUUGUUCAGAGAGGCACAGUCAAGGAAAUGCAUUUGAGGUCACUGUUCGAUGUACUUGAAGUACUCAUCCUGGAAAUAGUCUACUUGGAGUAGAGGGAGCUCAAGUGGGCAUGGGAACGUUGUGGAACCAGACCAGGAACAAAGGCGGCUUCAGAGGCCGUCUGUGAGGACUUGCAUGGGAGCAGGGGCGAGAACAUCCAGGGAAGAGAAGGUAGGAGCCUUGGAGUAAAGGAGAACCAGCUCCUCUCCACCCACCAAUGCCCUCCCCAUCCCCAGAUGAAUGAGGUAAUAAUAAUACCUGUAGCUGGACAUGGUGGCUCAAGCUUGUAAUCCCAGCAUUUUGGGAGGCCAAGGCGGGUGGAUCACCUGAGGACGGGAGUUCGAGACCAGCCUAUCAACAUGGAGAAACCCUGUCUCUACUAAAAAUACAAAAAUUAGUUGGGCACGGUGGUGCAUGGCUGUAAUCCCAGCUACUUGGGAGGCUGAGGCAGGAGAAUCACUUGAACCCGGGAGGCGGAGAUUGCGGUGAGCCAAGAUCGUGCCAUUGCACUCCAGCCUGGGCAACAAGAGCAAAACUCCAUCUCAAAAUAAUAAUAAUAAUAAUAUCUGUGAUGCAGUUGAAUGCUUACUGUGUGCCAGGUACUAUUUCAGGUGCUCUGCAUGGAUUAUCUCAGGUGAUGCUCUCAAUAAAUCUCAGAUGAGGUAUUUUCCCCUUACUUUAUAGACAGAGAAACGGAGGCACAGAGAAGGAAGCGGCAGUUAAAGCUGCGAAGAACCUAACAAAUUUCAAGAUUGUAAGUGCCUUUUCCCAGGAUGCCAGCAAGUACUGAGCCUGUAUUUUGAGCUGCAUCAAACCCUGUUGGAAUAAAAAAGGACAUUUCUAGGAGAUCAGUCUUCGAGAUUGGCCCCAGUUUCCCCAGAGUAGGAAGAGGCAGGAAGCCAGAGCACAUGUUCUCUCCAGAAAUAAAGUUGUUGCAGUGGCCUAACCGUGUCUUAGAGUUACUGAAAACUCUGUUCUCUUGAGAUUUCUCAAGAAAGGAAACCUAUCUUGCAAGACAAAACCCACCUGUAGUCAAUUCCUACAGGAAAUAAAUUCAAAAUAAUGUUUCAGGCAAGGGC
rnacentral:lncRNA from 10 species